GAUGAACGCUGGCGGCGUGCCUAAUACAUGCAAGUCGAGCGAACAGACGAGGAGCUUGCUCCUCUGACGUUAGCGGCGGACGGGUGAGUAACACGUGGAUAACCUACCUAUAAGACUGGGAUAACUUCGGAAAACCGGAGCUAAUACCGGAUAAUAUAUUGAACCGCAUGGUUCAAUAGUGAAAGACGGUUUUGCUGUCACUUCUAGAUGGAUCCGCGCCGCAUUAGCUAGUUGGUAAGGUAACGGCUUACCAAGGCAACGAUGCGUAUCCGACCGGAGAGGGGGAUCGGCCACACUGGAACUGAGACACGGUCCAGACUCCUACGGGAGGCAGCAGUAGGGAAUCUGCCGCAAUGGGCGAAAGCCUGACGGAGCAACGCCGCGUGAGUGAUGAAGGUCUUCGGAUCGUAAAACUCUGUUAUUAGGGAAGAACAAAUGUGUAAGUAACCAUGCACGUCUUGACGGUACCUAAUCAGAAAGCCACGGCUAACUACGUG
rnacentral:rRNA from 1 species